GAGCCAUGUGGUGAGCACAAAGCGAACUAUUCUUUCGCCUUUUACUAAAGAAUACCGUGUGUUCGUCAUCUUUGUUGGCAUACGCUUAUUUUUGGAGUGGUCCUCCGUUGGAGGGCCC